rnacentral:rRNA from 1 species
UAGAUACCCUAUUAUUCCUAAAUAAAUUUGUCCCAGGGUUAGUAGUAGGUAUUUACUUAAAAGCUAAAAAAUUUGGCGGUAAUUUAAUCUUUUCAGAGGAACUUGUUUUUUAAUCGAUAAGCCGCGAAUUAUCUUGCUUAUUCUUAUAGAGUUUGUAUACCGUCAUUAUCAGGUAAUUUUAAAAAAAUAAAUUUCUUAAGUUAAAAGAUUAUUAAAAUUAGAUCAUGGUGCAGCUAAUGAAUAAGUUAAAAUGAGUUACAAUAAAUUAUUUUAUACGGAUAAUUAAAAAAAUAUUUAAUUUGAAGGAGGAUUUGGUGGUACUUAAAGUUUAAUAUGCUUUAUGGAUGUUAGCUCUAAAUUAUGUACAUAUCGCCCGUCG